CGCGCCCCGCCACGCCAUCUCGCGGCCAUUCGCCACGCAUCGGCACAGCUGGCUGAGUCGCGCGGCGACCGUUGCCUCGUUUUAUCGUUACGACGAUAAAUAAUUACAAAAGCGUGCUUUACUUAUCUGUACCUAUUCCAUGUUCGAUUUAAAACGCGGGAAAUAUUUAGGCAUUUUAUUUGUCAUUUGUUGUGUCAAAUUUUGUGAUUUUAUAAUAUUUUAUUGCAAAUUUUAAUUCGUGUGCACAAUUUUCGACAAACAUUGUUUAUUUCAAAUUCGUGAUAGACAUAUCUUCCAGUUGUGUCCAAAUUUGUGAUAAGAAAAUGGAGAAAGGUGGUGGAUCUAGACUUCUUCAAAUGCAGAAAGAAAGAAAUAAUCGUUUGAUCCAAUGGAAGUACGUUACUUUCAUAAAUCUAUGGAUCAAGUGAACUGGUGGCAAAGAGGGAUUAGGAGGAGUCCUGGCAGUGUAUCCUCGAUAUCCUUGGAGGAAGUUGAACCUAUCGGCAUAAGGAAUGGUUGGCUAACCC